GACGAACGCUGGCGGCGUGCUUAACACAUGCAAGUCGAACGGAAAGGCCCUGCUUUUGUGGGGUGCUCGAGUGGCGAACGGGUGAGUAACACGUGAGUAACCUGCCCUUGACUUUGGGAUAACUUCAGGAAACUGGGGCUAAUACCGGAUAGGAGCUCCUGCUGCAUGGUGGGGGUUGGAAAGUUUCGGCGGUUGGGGAUGGACUCGGGGCUUAUCAGCUUGUUGGUGGGGUAGUGGCUUACCAAGGCUUUGACGGGUAGCCGGCCUGAGAGGGUGACCGGCCACAUUGGGACUGCGAUACGGCCCAGACUCCUACGGGAGGCAGCAGUGGGGAAUAUUGCACAAUGGGCGGAAGCCUGAUGCAGCAACGCCGCGUGCGGGAUGACGGCCUUCGGGUUGUAAACCGCUUUCGCCUGUGACGAAGCGUGAGUGACGGUAAUGGGUAAAGAAGCACCGGCUAACUACGUG
rnacentral:rRNA from 1 species